CAUGGUGAAAACCCUAGACGCCUCUCCACACUCUCCCAAUCCCAGCCGCCACACCCCUUUCUCUCCUCCAAUCCCCACGUCCCUCUCUCUUCCCAAUCCCCUCAAGAUUCACUACAUGUUCUGGUUUUCUUCAUGGUUGGAGAGCACUUGCCGCCCCCCUCCCUUUACUCCCUGCCAUGCCCUAGCAUAUCCUUCCCCACAACAAGAAGGGUUUCUCGUCUAGGUAUUGGAGGAAGAACAAGAGGUGGCAAGAAGAAGAAGAGAAGGAGGAAGAGAAGAUCCUCAUCUUUCCUAUCCGAUUCUUCUUGAUCCAGACCCAAAGGUGAGUUUCCCCACCCUCCAUGAUCCUCUUAGGUUCUGUAAAUAGUGGUUCCUAGCUUUUUAUGGAAGGGGAUUAGGAAGAUCAAGUGAAAACUAGGGCAAACAUGUUUCUACAUUUCCGUUUCUGGACAUACAGCUUCAUAAAUCAUCAUUUUCGAGUACCCAUUUGGCCGAAUAAGAUGAAGCUUAUCUGGAGUGUUUUGUAGAUCUUGUUCCUGCGAUCGUUUUGAGUGGUCAUUCACUCAAUUUGGUUCAGCGGUUUAGCUGCAGCGUUGAAAACAAGUUGCUACUCUGUUUUUUGCAAAAACAGGUUCUACUACUGUCAUGAACUUAAAGCAAUAAAGGGGUUCUACUAUUGAUUUAACUGUGCUUUGAACUUCAAGCAACCUCCUGAUCUUAUUUUUCUUGCAGACCAGCAAUAACUAUUACACGUAGCUAUUACAGGGUAUGAGCUCCAAUGGCUAUUGUAGUUUAAGGCAUGUGCAAGCAUACUGCCGACUAACUGUUGUUGUAUUUCUACUGGGAUGAGUUUGUUCAGCCAUAAACUUCAACUCAAAAUCAUGGUAUAUUUCUAUUGUUCCACACCGUUUGCAUCCUUUACCUUUCUUUGCAUUAUGUGUUUAAUAGAAUGCAUGAUCUCUCCUUGAAACUAAAAUUUCAGAUUUGUGACUAUAACUGGACCAUGCUACUUGCAGCUACUUAGCCCAAGUGUAAAAUUAUUGACUUGGAUCUAAUAGCAAAUGACACUGACCAUGAUACUUUUAUUCGUGGAUGACUGGAAGUCAUCAUUCUAAAAUUUGCAUUUCCUUUAUUAUUUGUGACUCCGAGCAUAUGGAUGCACCUCUAUGUUAAAUACUGACAAAGCGCUUACUUAUUGUUUACAUGCAAGUCUGGGUAGAUUUAUAUAAUCAGCGCCACCUGCCAUGGGGCCGAGAUGGUCAGGGAAAGGGUAGAAAGUCUAUAGAGAUUGGAUUUUCCACCCAAUUCUAAUGAAGUAUAUUCUGUUAUGUGGAGAUUUAGAAUACCAUGAUUAUGGUCACUAUUGUGCAAACCAAAGUCUAGGCGGUUUUUGAUUGGGAGUUCACCUGCUGGUGUUUCUUUAUGCUAUUUCCUGUCAAAGAUGAUCGGAAAGACGCCGGUGUUCUCGCUGGUGUUCUCACACUUUUCCGGAGGUAGGUAAGCUCAGCAACGUUAUUAGUUGAUAAGGUUUUUUCACUGCUAUGUAUUGUCGUAACAUCUUAGAUUCUUGUGGGAAUGCUUAGAAGUUGUUGGAGCUAGAGGUUGACUUCUAUACUAUCUGGUUAUUUGUCCCUAAACGCACAAAAAGUUGAGGUGCUACAGUUUUGGAUUCAGUAAUUCACUAUGCUGGUUGAAGUAAUGGUCACUUACAGACCUAUCUUCUUUCUUGCAUUAUCCUUUGUGAUAUCAUUCACACUUGUCCUAUUUAUUAAGAGUGAGCUCAAUUCUGAAACAAAUCUGUACAUGUCAAUACUGUAUUAACCAACUAAUUCUCUGAACACUAUUGCUUUCUGAAAAAUCACCAUCUUCCCUAGAACAUGGAAGUACUACGAACUGUUCUUUGCACCAUGUUUAUAUCUUCUUGAGUGUGUGCCAUGAAGCAAUAGUGUACUAAGCACCAUGAAAUAAUCAAUCAGGGUUAGGUUGAAUUUGAAAUGCCAUUGUUUUUUCCAUUUUAAUUUAGUUACACAUAUUCCUUCUGACUUUAGUUGCACACAUUUCUUUAUAUCAAACUUAGGCAUAACUUUAGUUACACACAUUCCUUUUGACUUUGUGAGGAUUUGAUCUACUAUUUUACACAUUUUCCACCUGUAUGUAUAUUAAGAUAUUCUAUUUACUACAGCCUGCAAAUGCUGGUGUAGUUCUGGCUCUUAUACUCUUAGAUUCCUAGGUGCUUGACAUUUUUAAGUGAGAUGUAUGCAUCAAUACCUCUUUCCAAAGGUAAUAACUUUAUUCUAUAAUAUCCUUCGCAAUAAUAGUUGAGCAUCUAUAAUAUCCUUCGCAAUAACAACAGAUCCAUGAAAUCGUCCAAAGAUGUCCAUGAGCUGGCUCAAAGGGAAGUUCUGAUGAUCCUUAUCUCCACCAAUGGAUAUAUUCUGCAUGAGGCAAGUUUUAAACUUCCAGAAAGAGGCUGCAGUGAUGAUUUGGCUUGAGUCUAUGAAGCCAAGUUUACUCAUAUGUACAAAAUACAAGGAGGAAAGGUGAUAAGGUUUCUCUCAGGAGGUUUCUCAACAGUUUGAGAUGUAUCACAGCCUUCUCUCCACUGGCAGACAAGCCGAUAUGCAAAUGCUUUUUCCUUCACAUCACUCCAAGCAGCGGCUACAGGUACCAUAUUUUAACUUUGUAGUAUUGGGCAUGCCAUGAAAAUGGGCAAAAGAUAGAUUAGAUUUCAUGGUAUAGUAGGCAUGGAAGAUGCUACUCUGCUGCAUUAGUGCAAUGAACAAAUUUCUAUUGUUACGAUUCAUUCGAUGGUCAAGCUUGCAAAUAGAAAGUAGUAGUAUGAGCUGGCGGAGUUUGAAGCAAAGCUGGUAAACAAGUAGUCAUAUUUAAUUCAGGGUCAUUAAGCUGAAGCUUAUAAACAUUAAUAUGGUAGGAUGUCAUGCCGCUACAUUAGCAUGAUUUAGUGUUUCAACUGUGGUGAAUAUAUGAGUGAAUAUAACCAUGAUUUAUAUUGUUGGCAUAACAUAUCAGUUGGCGCAAAUAUGAUCAUACCAUGCUUUUCUAUAUUGUUUCCAUUGCACUCAUAGGCAGAUCCAAUGUCUGUCCAAUACAGGAUUGGCAGCGUAGAACAUGGCCAGGAGGCCAGGACUAUCACAUUGGAGCAUACUCAUGUGAAGUGAUGCACUUUUUAUCUACCAUGAUCACACAUUGAUUCAAUUUGUUGAUUUAGAUGUGCGCCUUGACGCACGACCCCGUAGAAUUCGUAUUGGUCUACAUUUUAUAUAACGGUGAUAAAAAUUCGAUCAUGGUUACUGAAAUAUCGAUCUUGCUGUAGGUGUUAGGCUUCUUACUGAAAUAUCGUAUCCUCGCCCUUUCAUACACUCCAACACCAAAGGAUUUCCACAAAUCUUGCAGGUUCUGGGGAAGGCCACACCAUGGCACAAACUAGAGUUCGGAUUUUUUUUCCGUAUUCAUGCUAUAUGCGGCUCUAUUGGUAAUUCUAUUUUACCUUCCCUUUGUUGUACAAUACUUGCAGCUGUUGUUUCGAACCUUGGUGAGUUGGGGAAAAUAGCUGGUUGACUGGUCCUGGAUGGCUGAUGUUUGGUUUUCAGUUGCUACAGAAUAGACUUUGGCUAUUGAGUCCAAUGUUCAGGUGCCCUCUCUCUUUUUUAUUGUUUAUAAGCAACUUUGAUGCCAUGUCUUCUGAAUUAUUUGAGAGUUGUAAAUGAUGUUUGUAUCUCACAAGGCUAUUGAAAAGGGUGUACAUGGUUUAAGAUAUGAGAUGUUGAAAACUGUUAAGGCUGGUGAAUUUGGUUUUGGAAAUGUUCUGGCAAUUGUCGUUUAUUUCAAAUGGGACGGGGAUAAGCUAAUAAAUUGUUCGGUUGUAUCACUAUCAGAGUUCAUUGCUUAUUCAGUUGGAUUAUCGAAGGUUUGGCUGGAGCACCUGUUGAGUUGUGGCAGCCAGGAAGGAGCUGGUGAUACACGGAGGAGGAGCUGGUGAACGCAGAGACGGUGGAAAUGGAGCCAUAGCCAGCUCAAAGACAGGAAACCAGAGUGUCAAUGAUGCUAUUCAGGAGCAUGCGCUGUCGGUGGGUAAACGAUGUUUCAAAUGUAAAAACAAAGUUGAAUAUGCGCGUACGUUUACAUGGUGGUGUCAUGUAUGUAAGCCUUGCGCCUUAAUUUCAAGUUCAAUGUUUGAAUAGUUACUCUUCACGGUAGGACUGAGUUUUUGUUUCCUUCCAGUUUUCCCGUUUCAAAAUUGGGGAAGUUUUUGUUUCUUUGGUCACUUAUUUCAUCCAAAUGUAAUAUUCUGUAUGUACGUGUACAAUAGUGAACAAAUGUUCCUUUCUUUUC